UGCACCUCUAGCUCAACCGGUAGAGCAUCUGACUCUUAAUCAGCAGGUUCCGGGUUCGAGUCCCGGGGGUGCACCCA
rnacentral:tRNA from 1 species